rnacentral:rRNA from 1 species
UGGCUCAGGACGAACGCUGGCGGCGUGCUUAAUACAUGCAAGUCGAGCGAACAGAAGGGAGCUUGCUCCCGGAUGUUAGCGGCGGACGGGUGAGUAACACGUGGGUAACCUGCCUGUAAGACUGGGAUAACUCCGGGAAACCGGAGCUAAUACCGGAUAGUUCCUUGAACCGCAUGGUUCAAGGAUGAAAGACGGUUUCGGCUGUCACUUACAGAUGGACCCGCGGCGCAUUAGCUAGUUGGUGGGGUAAUGGCUCACCAAGGCGACGAUGCGUAGCCGACCUGAGAGGGUGAUCGGCCACACUGGGACUGAGACACGGCCCAGACUCCUACGGGAGGCAGCAGUAGGGAAUCUUCCGCAAUGGACGAAAGUCUGACGGAGCAACGCCGCGUGAGUGAUGAAGGUUUUCGGAUCGUAAAGCUCUGUUGUUAGGGAAGAACAAGUGCGAGAGUAACUGCUCGCACCUUGACGGUACCUAACCAGAAAGCCACGGCUAACUACGUGCCAGCAGCCGCGGUAAUACGUAGGUGGCAAGCGUUGUCCGGAAUUAUUGGGCGUAAAGGGCUCGCAGGCGGUUUCUUAAGUCUGAUGUGAAAGCCCCCGGCUCAACCGGGGAGGGUCAUUGGAAACUGGGAAACUUGAGUGCAGAAGAGGAGAGUGGAAUUCCACGUGUAGCGGUGAAAUGCGUAGAGAUGUGGAGGAACACCAGUGGCGAAGGCGACUCUCUGGUCUGUAACUGACGCUGAGGAGCGAAAGCGUGGGGAGCGAACAGGAUUAGAUACCCUGGUAGUCCACGCCGUAAACGAUGAGUGCUAAGUGUUAGGGGGUUUCCGCCCCUUAGUGCUGCAGCUAACGCAUAAGCACUCCGC